GGCAGCAGUGUUUAUAACAAUGGUUAUAGCCAUGUUAUACAUAGUUGCAAACUCUGCUGCCAUAGAGAGUCUGUAGCAUUCUAUGGCAGCAGUUUUUGUAUGUAUAACACUGCUAUAAACAUUGUUGCAAACACUG